AUUAAUCAAGAACGAAAGUUAGAGGUUCGAAGGCGAUCAGAUACCGCCCUAGUUCUAACCAUAAACGAUGCCAGCCAGCGAUCCGGCUGUGUUCCUCAAAUGACACGCCGGGCAGCUUCCGGGAAACCAAAGCUUUUGGGUUCCGGGGGAAGUAUGGUUGCAAAGCUGAAACUUAAAGGAAUUGACGGAAGGGCACCACCAGGAAUGGAGCCUGCGGCUUAAUUUGACUCAACACGGGAAAACUUACCCGGCCCGGACACAGGAAGGAUUGACAGAUUAAGAGCUCUUUCUUGAUUCUGUGGGUGGUGGUGCAUGGCCGUUCUUAGUUGGUGGAGCGAUUUGUCUGGUUAAUUCCGAUAACGAACGAGACUCUAGCCUACUAAAUAGACGUUCCGAUCAUCUCCGUCGGACGUUCUUCUUAGAGGGACAAGCGGCGUUUAGCCGCACGAGACAGAGCAAUAACAGGUCUGUGAUGCCCUUAGAUGUCCGGGGCCGCACGCGCGCUACAUUGAAGGAAUCAGCGUGUGCUUUCCCUGUCCGACAGGACUGGGUAACCCGUUGAACCUCCUUCGUGCUGGGGAUAGGGGCUUGUAAUUGUUCCCCUUGAACGAGGAAUUCCCAGUAAGCACGAGUCAUAAGCUCGUGUUGAUUACGUCCCUGCCCUUUGUACACACCGCCCGUCGCUACUACCGAUUGAAUGAUUUAGUGAGGUCUUCGGACUGGCGCUCGGAGCGGCCCUCGGGUCGCGCCGGCGUGCCGGAAAGAUGACCAAACUUGAUCAUUUAGAGGAAGUAAAAGUCGUAACAA
rnacentral:rRNA from 1 species